rnacentral:lncRNA from 1 species
GCGCCAAUUAAUUAGGAACGGAGGGAGUGUUAUAUGACACCUUCAUAUCUAUUUUUUUUUAAUUUGGUCCUGCAUGUUAUAGUAGUAUUUGAUUCAGCUCGGUCGCCGUGCAAAUUUUCAACGGAACAGGGAUCCUACGAUGUCAAACUGUACCUAUCCCACACGCACCUAACCUUAUCCUCGGCAUGCAUUUGAAGUUUUGAACGGACCAUUAAUUUCUUUCUUUCUUUUUUCUGCGGGGGAACGGAUUAUAGAUUUCGUUCGAUCCAUCAGCAAGUGGCUAAUUGCGCCUUGUGAUCGAUAGCUCAGUUCGUGUCAUCGAUCAGCUCCUUCUGUUUAUUGAUAUGUGUGAAACGGUUAUAUUGGAUCAGAGGAGAUUGAAUUGAAGUACAACUUCGUUUUCGAUUGGCGAUAUCAAGUAGUACUGAAAUGAUUUAAUGUAAUUCAAAGGUUGAUUCCAACUUUUUGUAGGGCCCGUUUAUGCUGAACCAAGA